ACCAACCUCAACUGGUCAGAAUAAAUAAAUGAAUGAAUAACGAAUAAUGAAUAAAUGAAUGAAUGAAUGAAUGAAUAAAUCAAGGAAAAGAGAAACAACAGAAUACUAGCAAGUACGAGUAAGCAAACCCUAAUGCGCCAAAGCCACGGUGUCAAAACUAGCAUGCAAGGACUAGCUAAAAGGAACGACAUUGAAUAAGAGAACUGAAUUGCAACUGAAAAGGAAAAGAAAAGAAAGGAAACAAGAAACAGCCCACCAUCAUGGAAGAGCAACAUUAUGACCAGAGAAAGACGUCAUGAAUAAGCUGGAUUAAAGGAAAUCAAAGGAACACCAAAACAUUAAUGAAUAUCAAGGAUGCACAGGGAAAUCAAGAACAAAUCAAGAAGCGAUAAUGAAACAAAAUGUAUAACAGCGAUAACGCGACCUAAUAAAUUAGAGUAAUAAUAAAUAUAUUAAAUACAAUAUAAAAUAAAGAAUAACCAAGCAAAUCAUAAAUAUAUUAACACUAAUACAAUCUACAGAACUUUGUACCAUCGUGUGUUAAAAUAAACUAAAUCAUAACAGUUA